rnacentral:rRNA from 1 species
UACAGAGGUCUCAAGCGUUGUUCGGAUUCAUUGGGCGUAAAGGGCUCGUAGGCGGCCAACUAAGUCAUACGUGAAAUCCCUCGGCUUAACCGGGGAACUGCGUCUGAUACUGGAUGGCUUGAGUUCGGGAGAGGGAUGCGGAAUUCCAGGUGUAGCGGUGAAAUGCGUAGAUAUCUGGAGGAACACCGGUGGCGAAGGCGGCAUCCUGGACCGAUACUGACGCUGAGGAGCGAAAGCCAGGGGAGCAAACGGG